rnacentral:piRNA from 1 species
UCAUUUUAUCGGUUGGUUGCA